GACGAACGCUGGCGGCAUGCCUAAUACAUGCAAGUCGAGCGAACAGAUGAAGUGCUUGCACUUCUGACGUUAGCGGCGAACGGGUGAGUAACACGUAAGGAAUCUACCUAUAAGCGGGGGAUAACAUUCGGAAACGGGUGCUAAUACCGCAUAAUAUCUUCUUCCGCAUGGAAGAAGAUUGAAAGACGGCUCUGCUGUCACUUAUAGAUGACCUUGCGGUGCAUUAGUUAGUUGGUGGGUAAUGGCCUACCAAGACGAUGAUGCAUAGCCGACCUGAGAGGGUGAUCGGCCACAUUGGGACUGAGACACGGCCCAAACUCCUACGGGAGGCAGCAGUAGGAAUCUUCCGCAAUGGGCGAAAGCCUGACGGAGCAAUGCUGCGUGAGUGAAGAAGGCC
rnacentral:rRNA from 1 species